UAUUCCUAUUUUGUUUUCAGGUAUUACAAAUAUUCUCUUCCUUCUUCUAUUUGGUGUUUUUUUUGUCAAAAGUUUUCAUCGAAGCAAUUUUCAAGCGGUCUUCUGGUGGUCGAAAAACAUGGAUCUCCCUUUUGAUUUCGGUUCUGAGCUUUGCACCUGAUCUAUAAAGUGUUUGAUGAAAGUUCCAAACCAAUCUCUCUUAUUUUUUCCUAUUAGCGACGCAUCUACAUCGUCAUCUCGAGUUAUGCGGAUUGAUUGGUUCUUUGUAGUAUUUUGAUUUUCUUUAUGCUUUGAAUUUCAGGUGGCGAUUCGUUUCGAUUUGGGUUUCUCUUAUUAAGCUAAUUGUUCAUAAACGCUAGAGAGUCAGAGAGGAAUUUACUCGAAUGAUUUACGGUUAAUCUGCGGCGUCGGAUCAGGCAACACAAUUGCUCGAUCUGAUCUUAUGUUUGUUUCUGGUACCGAAAAGUAUUUUAAUUAGUUUAUGUAAUUGAUGAUUUUGUGUGUUGUAUGUAGGUUGAUUGCAGUGCAUUUGAACUGGCUUUCGAUGCCGUUUGCAGCAGGAUGGAAGUGUUUUUGGAGCGUGAAGAUGAAACUGACAUGGGAGGUGUUGCAGCAGGGCACUGUUUUGAUGGAUUAUUAUCAGCAUCUGAAAUGGAGCCCGAUUUUGAGCAGCAGCAAGGUGUUGCAGCAGAUGAGGAAGAACCAUUUAUGGGAUCAGGCCGUUUCGCAGGUCCUUUGGGACUGGUGUGAAGAGCUUCAGAUACGGCAGGUUAUGUUAUUUAGACACCGGUUAGCUUGAUGUAUAUGGCUGAUGAGAUAAUGUGACGGUCAUUGAAUCCGAAUGGAAUCGUCCCUGUUUCGAUUAAUGUCUGAACUGAGUUGCAGAGCGGUUCAGCUGGGUCUAGAAAUGUUGCUGCAUGAUUCUCGGUUUGAUUUUUGCGCUACAGGUAUUCUUCUCGUGUGCCGGUCGGUUCAUGGUCAACAAUGUUGGAGAAGAUGAAAAUAACGCCAGCAUUUGGCUGUGAUAUGCAGAUAUUGAUUUGGAAAAUGUUAAGGAGAACAUACUCUCAUUACCGAAAUAUUCUAACUUUUGCAUGAUAGAGUUUUCUGAUAUCAGUGGUUCAUGAAGAUUUUUAGAAUCCAUAAGAAUAUUCUUGCAAAGAAUGUUUAAUGUUCAGUGUGAUGCAAAAUGUAAGAUAUUUCUCUUCUUUUAGUUGGUUUUC